rnacentral:rRNA from 1 species
AGAACGAACGCUGGCGGCAUGCCUAAUACAUGCAAGUCGAACGAACACUUCGGUGUUAGUGGCGCACGGGUGCGUAACGCGUGGGAAUCUGCCCUUGGGUUCGGAAUAACAGUUGGAAACGACUGCUAAUACCGGAUGAUAUCGAAAGAUCAAAGAUUUAUCGCCCAGGGAUGAGCCCGCGUAGGAUUAGCUAGUUGGUGAGGUAAAGGCUCACCAAGGCGACGAUCCUUAGCUGGUCUGAGAGGAUGAUCAGCCACACUGGGACUGAGACACGGCCCAGACUCCUACGGGAGCAGCAGUAGGGAAUAUUAGGACAAUGGGCGAAAGCCUAGAU